rnacentral:sRNA from 1 species
GAGACAAAAUUGACUUUUGUGAGACAAAAUUUACUUUUGCGAGACAAAUUUGACAAAAUUGAAUUUUGUCUCACAAAAAUCAAUUUUGUUUCACUAAAGUC